GUGCAAUUUCCUUGGCGUCCGCUAGGGGAACGUUACGUUUCAUUUUGUGGCUCUUUCUCCUGUCCAAAGCAGUUUUGGACAUAAAAGCCUGCUGUUAUUUCACUUCCUGGAGUUUGGCCGACAGAUUGGUUUAGUACAUUAUCGGUUCAUUAUUUUCUAGCGCUCCAGUCAUCCUAUAAAGGUAGGAAGCGCCAGCUAGCUUAACUCCGAACCCUGCUACAUUGAGUUAUGGUUAGCAUGCUAACCUUGGUUAUGUAUUAGCUGUGGCUAGCUGGCUUAAGUCUGCGCAAUUGGGCCCAGCCUUUAUAAUUUUUUCCUCAGCAGAAGUUUAGAUCUCUCUUGUCAGACAUCUCCUCAGUUUUGUGACAAAAUUAGCAUUUCUCUGACGUAUUCCACGUGCUGCAUCCUGGACGGCCUGCGUGAACUCUGCGGUCAAAGAGGAAGUUGAACAAGUAUGACAGAAAUAGCUGGAGAAAUUGAGAACCACAGAGUCUGCCCGAGUAAACACGACACACUGCCUCCUGGAUGGAAACGGCGAGGUGUCACACUGAACACUAAUAAAGGCCAGAGUGAAAGUGAACCUGAGGAUGUUACCUGAAACGUCGUGUUCCAGUGUGUGUUAGGAAACUGCGUCACGAUCUCCUUGGCAACCGGGUUUAGCCAACAAUAGAGGGGAAGAGCUCAGACCUCAAAAGGGCUUGCCGUCGUUCGGAGAUCAGGGUCAGCGAGUGAUGAUCUUUUGCAGUUUGCGGAGAUGGACACCUUUGGCAGUAAGUUACAGCAGAAGGCUCUGCAGCAACCUAAGCAGAAGAAAUCCAAGUCGGCUGAAUUUCUGAUGGGGAGAGAAGACAGAGCUGCCGUGGUGGGCAUAGAAAACCCAGCCUUCGAUGGAGGAGGAAGCGCAGAGCUUUCUGUUCCUCCGGUUUGGCUGGGGAGAGAAAUUCGAGGUGACAGGCCAGAUAGCACCCUUGCAGCUCACCAAAAAAAAAUGGAGCUGCGAGCCCCUGCCAAAGAAAGAGAAAAUGAACGCGCCCAAAAUUACUUUGACCCUUUGUCGGCAGAGCAGACAGACCCAAGGCAUCGCAGGACGGCCGGGGUCAGCGCCGAAGAUGAGCUGGAAUUAACAAAAUUAAACGCAGACGAAAACAGGCUGUAUCAAAGAAUGACUGCGCUGCUGGACGAGCGCGAUGCCUUCAUAGACAUCCCAGGUAUGCUGGUAGCCCCCAGGGACGUGGAGGUGUUGGAGGUGAUGCCGGUUGAUCCGGUGCUUCAGCAGCGACUGCUGCUCCACGGCGGCGGCGGUGGUGGUGAUGCCUCGAGCUCCAUGCGAUCUCAGGCCCACACCGUUCCCAAAAGCCAGGCUGAGGCCAGCGCUGGGAUGGGAAGUGAUGCUGGACUUGGAGUAGGAAGGACGGUAAUGGGCGGAGUGGCGAUGGCUGAGGAGGUGAUCCCCCACUACACUCAGCAGCUGUGGGAGCGUGUGCGGCCUGACAUGAUCACGCUUGGCAGCCUUUCACCGCAGCAGCAAGUGGCUGAGAAAGGACCGUUGCAGAGGUGUGAGUGGGCAGAGAGAAAGAAGCGACCUAUGGCCUUCCUUAAAGGGAAUGAAAAGGAUGCAGCAAGAGACACACCACAACCUGCGAUGAACAAGCUGUUUCAGAGCAGCAGAACCAUGAAAAGCCCAUCACUCAGGGCGCUAGGCGAAGGCCAGGAGGAAGUGACGGCUACGUUUGGCCAGAUGACAGAGCUCCCAGAGUCCUCCUCUUCAGGAUCACAGCCACCAUGGCAGGUGAACCUGGACACGACGCCCCAGCCCGUGGAUGUGUGUGUGCGCUGUCUCAGAUCCACCAGGGACAAGCUCCCCAGGGGCCUCUACACCGUGAGCGUGGCCCUUUACAGCGGCCUCGGCGGCGCCCCCCUAGCACAGGGCGCUAAGGCAGGGCAGCAAUGGGCCGUGUCCACCGAGCCGGUAGAGCACCGGGGCCGGGUCCACGACACCGACCUGCACGUCAACCAGAACCUUUUCAUGAUCUUGCCUGCACCGCGUGAGCUCGUCCCCUCAACGGUCUUCAUAUUCCAGCUGAUCGCGCUGCCAGCGAGCAGCAGCCACGUGAGCUCCGUGCUGGCGUGGGGAGCGUUUCCUGCUUGUGGCCCGACGCUCGAUCUGGUCCAGGGCAGGUUCAGAACCCCUCUCCUCAGGAGUGAGCCCAACGCGCAGCUGGACCAGUUUAAAAAAAUUGAAGACCUCAUCUCCUCUGAUCUGGACCACUGGCUGUGCAACCUGUACUUUGAGGUGAAGAGGCUCCCACCUGGAACAUCUGGGGGGCCCGAGCGUUGCGUCACCGUAUCAGUGCCCCAUCCCGACCCCGCCACCGCAUCCCCACCGGACGUCCAUUAUCAGCAGCGUCGAGGCCAACUGCCACCGCAGCGCGAGUCUGGCUCGCAGUUCCACCUCCGCCCUCAGCCCACUCAUGCCCACCACCAGCACCCACAUGCAGGCUCCGGCGGCACCGCGGCCCAGUCCCGGCGGGCGUCUCCGCUGCACCUCUCGGCCGAUUCUGCCUGCUCUGCUUCGCCUGUGCCAGGGAAGAAUUCCACCUCAGGAGCCAUUUUUGGAAACACAGGAGAGAAGAGUGAUCCGUGCAGAGGGACAACAGAGGGUGGGAUCUUCUACAAGAAGAAGCCAAUCAAGAAGACAAAUAGCUGCGGCCCCAGCAUGAGCGGCGGCGGUGGCGCGGCGCCUCGGCAGCCAGACAAACACAAGAUGCAGCCUUCAAUGGAGAACCUCUCCACGGAGGAGAUGGAGGAGUAUACAUUCUCCCUAAAAUCAGCGCUGACCGGACCCGCUGCCCGGACCAAGUGCCUGUCGGACCGAGCCCGCCUGGCCCUCCGCAUGCUGCCGUCUGAGCUGGGUCUGCCGUUGCCCCAGCAACUACAACAGCCGCGCGCUGGCUGGCGUGGCUCCGUUCGGCAGCUAGGCCUCAUUAUGCUGCUGCUGGCUUUGAUGUGGUUUGCGAGGCUCUACCUGCAUUACUGCAGCCAGUGGCUGUACCUCCAGGCCAUAGCAGUUCCUGUCAACAAAUUCCAGUUCCACGCGCACACGGUGGACCUCAUAUACCAGAGUUCUUUGCUCCACACUCGGGAGGAGCUGGCGAUGGUGGUCGCGGGUCCCGUGACCUUGAGCGCAGUAACGUUCCUGCUGGUUCUGAUCAGAUGGGGCUGUCAACAGAUAUUUGGCUCACUCCCUUCCUUCACGUCAAAGUUUAUCAUGGCUCAGGGAGUGUGGACAGUCCUCGACCCCCUGGCGGUUUUCGCGGUGGACGCCGCCCUCGGGCGUCUCACCUACAGCCCUGACGCGCCGGUGGGCGACGCCGCCAAACUCUACUGGCACUUUCACCGAGCCGACCAAUCAGGAGCGGCGGGCGUGAUCAUCACUCUCUUCCUCUACGCUGUCCUCUCCCUGCUUUCUGUCACCAUCCUCUCCAUCUACCUGCUCAGGUUCCACAACGACGGUCGCAUGCUGGACGUGUAUCAGCGGCUGACGGCCGAGGAGGGGAUCUACUUUGUGCCCGAAGACCUGGAGCUGUCGAAUCAGGAGCUGAGCUACAUUGUGAAAAAGGCGGAGCAGUGGAGGGGCUUCAACGGGGAAAGGCGCAAGGUGACAGUUCAUGACUAUAUCUGGGCUGCAGAAGGAAGCCAGCCUGGUUCUGCAGAAGCCAUCGAAGACCCUGCAAGAGAGGCUGGACGCCUGCCACGGGGCGAGACCAGCACACACGUGGCCGUCUACACCUUGCACCUGAGCGGGUUGAAGCAAAGAUACAGGCACUUCCUCCGACAACCGGAUGGGGCUAUUGUCGAGGUGAUUGGCGACAUGGAGGGGGUGGACAUGAUGAUGACAGGACAGAGAUCCUCCAAUCAGAGAGAGGAGGAGGAGGAAGGUGCGAGGCCUCCACAUCAGCUACGCAAAAGGAAGAAGCUCUUCGGGCGGUCUCAUCGCGUUGAGCCAUUGGGAGGAAGUGGGUGUGGCUCCAGCUUUGCACUGCAAGACCUCAACCAAUGACAUUAGAGACAAAGGCAGCCCAGCCUUUAGAUAAUAGCAGUUGUCCCUGACAGCGCCCCCCCCACAACCCCCAGACUCCACCCUUGCCUCUCCGUUUGAUUGAGAGUUGGGCGGCUGGAGGUGCGUGAUGAGGCCCCGCUCGUCUCAUAUUCAUCAUGAUGUAACCGUGAGCAACCCGGAUCUAAAUUACCUUCGUCUGGCAUCAUUCCAGCACAUGCUAUAAAUGAGCUGUGCUCCGCGGUGCCAUCCUCCAGCAGCGACGUUGGAGGGAACGCCGGAUGACACGGAGCAACGCAGCCAUCAGCUCCCAUUUAUGCCUCCUGCGGUGACCUUGCCACCGACGUCCAUGAGGUUCAGAAGUGCCGGCAACAUUCUGCAACCCGCUGCACUUCCCUGCACUCUGCUGACCUUAAAAGUGUGGCCUCGAUCCGGGGGAGGCUGGAAACAUGCACACAUGCAUGCACACACAACACACACACACACACACACACACACACACACACACACACACACACACACACACACACACACACACACACACACAGUCAUCCUGCUCCUCCUCCUCUGCACUUGCCAGGCAAUGGCCUACUUUAAUCAGACUGUAAAGGUUCACAGUUUUACUUCAGUAGCUCAUUCUGGAUUUAUUGCAGAUGCGGCAAAUCAACUACUGUAGCAGCUUUGUGAACGGGUCCCUAUGAAAACAUGUAGUCGGCUAAGUAGCCCCACUCAUAUUUGUCCUAAUAAACAUCAUCACAUCAUGGCCAAAAACUAGCACUUUUAUU